rnacentral:lncRNA from 1 species
UGGUGUCGGUCACACCAAUGACUCGAGACCAGUCACUCUCCCUAAGAGAAGACAUAACACGUAUUGAUCUUAACAAACUGUCAAUGCCUAAUUGGCAAUCCUAUGAUCAGGAAUGUUUAGGAUAUGUAUACGAAAGACAAUGGUCUCAUGAAUCUAACUUCUUUAGAUCGCAUUCUCCCAAUUACAUAUUCCUUUCGUUUAAGCGUAUAACAUUUAUAUGAGACAGCUUCAAACAAUAAUGUUUGCCCUUUAAAUUGAACUAUAUUAGUUUAACAUGUGAAAUGUCCGUAAAGUAUCAUUAUAUGAUUGGUUUUAGGGCACAUUUCCAACACUAGUAGUGCAUUAUAUAUGUUUAUUUGCUUAAGAUUGAAUGGUUGUCAGAUGCUAGCUCGUUCGUUUUUAUUAAUGCCGAAAACAAUCCAAAUGAACUCCGAAUAGAAAAACUAUGUACAUUUGACGCCCAAUAAGUUUUUGAUCUUUCAAGUACUCAUUCUUAUGGUCCUAGUAGCACAUUAUAUGUGUUUAUUUGCUUAAGAUCGAAUGGGUGUCAAAUGCAAGCUUGUUCUUUUUUUUAAUGCCAAAACAGUCCAAAUGGACUCCAAAUAAAAAAACUGUGUACUUUUGACACCCAAUAAGCUUUUGAUCUUUUGAGUUCACAUUCUUAUGGUCCUAGUAGCACAUUAUACAUGUUUAUUUGCUUAAGAUGGAAUGGGUGUCAAAAUCAAGCUCAUUCUUUUUUUUAAUGCCAAAAACAAUCCAAAUGAACUGCAAAUAGAAAAACUGUGUACUUUUGACACCCAUUAAAAUUUUGAUCCUUUGAGUUCUCAUUCUUAUGGUCCUAGUAACAUAUUAUAAGUGUUUAUUUUCUUAAGUUCUAAUGGGUGUCAAACGCACGCUCCUUUGUUUUUAUUAACGUUGGAAAGUGUCCAAAUGCACUCCAAACAUAAUAAAUGUGUACUUUUGACACCCAAUAAGCUUUUGAUCUUUUGAGCGCAUUAUAUGUUUCCAUUUGCUUAAGAUUGAAUGCGCAAACUCAAUGUAGUUCGUUUAUAUUAAUACUGAAAACACUCCAAAUGAACUCCAAAUAGAAAAACUCUAUACUUUUGAGAAUCAAUAAGCUUUUAAUCUUUUGAGUACUCAUUCUUAUGGUCCUACUAGCACAUUAUAUGUGUUUAUUUUCUUAAGUUGUAAUAGGUAUCAAAAGUGUGGUUGUUUGUUUUUAUAAAUGGCGAAAACAGUACAAAUGAACUCAAAAUAGAAAAAUUCUGUACUUUUGACACCCAAUAAACUUUUGAACUUUUGAGUACUCAUUCUUAAGGUCAUACUAGUGUAUUAUUUUUGUUUCUUUUCUAAGUUCCAAUGGGUGUCAAACACAUUUGAACUUAAGCUAAUAAACACACGCUCGUUUGUUUUUAUUAAUAUCUAAAACAUUACAGAUGAACUCCAAAUAAAAAAGGGUGUACUUUUGACACCGAAUAAGCUUUUGAUCUUUUGAUGACUCAUUCUUAUGAACCUAGUAGCACAUUAUAUCUGUUUAUUUGCUUGGGUGUCAAACGCACACCCCUUUGUUUUUAUUAAUGCCUAAACCAUUACAAAUACACUGCAAUAAAACUAUGUACUUUUGACACCCAAUAAGAAUUUUAUCAUUUGAUUACUCAUUCUUAUUGUCAUGGGAAAGUAGUCCAAAUGAACUCCAAAUAGAAAAAUUGUGUACAUUUGACACCUAAUAAGCUUUUAAUCUUUUGAGUACUCAUUCUUAUGGUCCUUGUAGCACAUUGUAUGUGUUUAUUUGCUUAGGUUACAAUGGGUGUGAAACGCACACUCAUUUGUUUGUUUUUAUUAAUGCCGAAAAUAGUCCAAAUGCACUCUAAAUAGAAAAACUGUGUACUUUUGACACUCAAUAAGCUUUUGAUAUUUUGAGUACUCAUUGUCAUGGUCCUUGUAGUGCAUUGUAUGUGUUUAUUUGCUUAAGUUCCAAUGGGUGUCAAACACAUGGUCAUUCGUUUUUAUUAAUGUUGAAAACAGUCUAAAUGAACUCCAAAUAGAAAAACUAUGUACAUUUGAAAUUCGCUAAGCUUCUUAUUUUGAUUACUCAUUCUUAUGGUCCUAGUUCAGCAUUAAAUUUUUUUAUUUGCUUAAGUUCCAAUGGGUUUCAAACACACACUUGUUUGUUUUAUUAAAUCCGAUAACAGUCCAAAUGCACUGUGUUGAUGCACAAAACCGGAAUAUGUAAGAAAUGUAAAUAACACAAGAUGUAUCGUGGUUCACCCCAAGGUUUGGGCUACGUCCACACUGAUUGUAUUGUAUUUCUCUGAGAAGUGAGGGAGAGAGCCUCUGUAAUAUGAGAGGGGAUGUGAGAGGGUUUCAGGCUUAAGGAUUGGCCUCCUCUAAUUGUGAGGGUAAGGGGUCCUUUUAUAGAAUAAGGACUCUUCACUUAUUACAUAUUUGCUCAUUCCUUUAUCACAUAAUUACAUUUUAUGUCCCCCGAGUAUUUGUACAAGAUCUAAAUAUGAGGCUCUAAAUAUGGUAUAAACAGUAGUCCCCCAAGUCUUCAGUCAAGAAAGUCUUUUGGCUGGAGACUUGAAAUUAAGUCCAUGUGUGGGCCGAAGUAACUAGAUGUUGUCUUGAACUGAUGCUCGAUAUGAGGCGGUGCUUAAUCUGAAAUGAUGCUUAACUAAAAGUAGCACAUGCUGCGAGGCUGCUCGGCUCAUGGCUUAUGUUGCCUUGGUUGGCUCGGCUUGUGGCGUUAAAGGUGAGGGAGUCCCUUUUAUAGAAUAAGGGCUUGCUUCUCAAUACAUAAGUGAUAGGCUAAGAGUUGAUGCUCGCGGUGAGGCGGUUGCUCAGUUGACAACGAUGCUUUUCUAAUGAUGGUGAGGGAGUCCCUUUUAUAAAAUAAGGGCUCGUUCCUCAAUACAUGAAUAAUGUGCUAGAGUUGAUGCUCUCGAAUGACGGUGAGAAAGUUCCUUUUAUAGAAUAAGGGCUCGCUCCUCAAUACAUAAGUGAUGGGCUAAGUCCCCCAAGUAUUUUUCAUGAGGCCCAGUUGAGGCCCAAUAUAUGGUACAUAAUGUAGUCCCCCAAGUCUUCAGUUAAUAGAGUCUGUUGGCUGGAGACUUCAAAUUGAAUUCAUGUAUGGACCGAAGUGGUGGUUGUUCGGAGGCGGUAUUUCUAUACCCUGUACUGAAGCUUUGUAGGUGAAGCUUUACAAAUGAAGCUUUGAAGCUGAAGCUCUGUAAAUGAAGCUUUUGAAGCUAGAGCUAUUGUAAAUGAAGCUUUUGAAGCUGAUUGACAUGAGUGAUGCUCAUGAAUGUUUAUGUUGAUUGACAUGAGUGAUGCUCAUAGAUGUUGUCAUAAGUGAUGCUCAUGAAUGUUGACAUGAAUCAUGGUCAUGAAUGUUUAUGUAUGAUUGUCAUGAGUGAUGUUCAUGAAUGUUUAUGUAUGAAUGACAUAAUUGCUGGCAUGAAGGAGAGUACGGGUUGUACAUUUCAUUACCUGGUUGGUGGCAUGAAUGGCUAGUUGCCAAAUGAUAUUUAGAGUACGGGUUGUACAUUUCAUCACCUGGUUGGUGGUAAUAGCAACAGGUUGCCGAAUAAUUUUUGAGUACUGGGUGUACUUUUGAUCACCUGGUUAGUGGUAAUAGCGGCUGGUUGCCGAAUAAUUGUGGAGUACUGGGCGUACUUUUGAUGAUUUGGUUGGUGCUAUUUUAGGCUUAUGGGCCUUCGCUCUCCACACAACAUUCCAGCCCAUUUAUUGGGCUUUGCCGUUUAUUACCCUCUUAUGGGGUUUAUACAGAUGUCUCCGAAAGAUAGGAAAAAUACAUCACAUCAUACAAAAACAAGAAAAGCAAAUCACAUCAUUCUGAUGGGGUGUUUAUUCCUUGCUUUUGCUUUCACUUUUGUUUUGCUUUUGCUUUUGUUUCUGUUUCCCACUGCGCCUCUGUCUCUCCACCUCCAUCCUCUCUGGCAGACUUGCUUAUUGCUUUUGCAGACUUGCUUUACUUUUUCUUUUCAUUUUCUGCUUUCUUCUUUUGCACCGCACCCUCUCAGUCUUUGUCUCUACUUUGCAUGUGCACUCUUUGAUCUUUAGCUGCAUGGACUCCAAAGUAUGACCUUAAUAUCCUCACCAUCUCUUCAAAUGGCGUCUACUUUGGCAUUUCCAGUGGCGCAGGCCGACCUUCAGAACCUAAACCAUCGCUCUCAAAUGGAAAUGGAAGUAUCAUAUACCCUUCCCACAAGUAGUCCAUCUUCAGGUCCUAAAAUGGUUUACAUGCUUCGCUAAAACGCUUCAAUACAUCGUCAAGUUCGAGGUCUGUUACGCUAUAGUUGUAGCCCCAAACUGCAAUUACUCAUCCGGGCUUACACAAAACGCAUUUGAUGACCGAGUAGAACUUUGGGAGGUUGAACCAGUGAACGGCCUCUGCCGCGGUAACCAAAUCAACUGAGUUUUCUCUCCCUAUUAACUCAACAAAUCGUUGUCAGACAUGGUCAUCGGAGUGUGAACGUAACGAACUCAAGGAUGUUGGAGUGCAAGCUUUAGUUGGGACUCACUCAUAUCAGUCCCUAUUACUUGCUCAUAAUUCUCUCCAAGAGAGAAAGCAGCUUGGCCAUUACUAGUGCCAACAUCCCAAGCUAAAGAAUGAUUUGGUGUGGGAGCAGCCAGCAUGGAAAGCCAUUCCUUGGGAUAAGUUGGCCUUCCUACCAAGUAAACCUAUGCGUGCUUGCCGAAUAUACCUUCCAUUUUUUUUUUACUUCUGUAAUUUACAGCCCGAUACGCGCCGGAUACGUAUGUGAAUGUAUCAGUUAACCAUUUGGCCUCUGGAUACGUCGUCGAUACGCUUACUAUAUGCGAAUCCGACUGUCUAGAUACGUUUUUAGAGGACAAGCAGACUCUGGUGGGAGAGAGCUUCACCGUCGACCGUCGUUUGCCACUAUGUUGGUUGCGUUGUCUGCAACUGCAAGUGUGUUGGCUACUGGUGCUGGGUAACUGGGUUACGAUUUGAACAGUAGAACAUGUAAGAAGAAGAAACAAUAGUAUUUUGGGUACAAGACCUGUCGGCUGCCCAUGCUGGGUUCCAAUUUGAACAAAGGAACAAGUAAGGAGAGGAAACAAUUGUAUUUUGGAUAGGAUCUGUUCAGAGAAGAACAGACAGAGAGCUUUUGCUUUUCACUUUUGUGGGAGUGGUUGAGGAUGCAUGCUUUUUCUUUUCACCUGCAAACAUACUCAUAUGCAGCCUUUCUUUUUCUUUUCUUUUUUUCGCUUUUUGCUUUGCUCUUUUCUUUUUUCUGCUUUGCUGUAAUUCCACUUGCAUACAUGAAAACCUGGGUGGCUGGUUCCCAUGGCCGACAAUUGUAGGUUUAUAGCGUGGGUGAGCAGCGCAAGAGGGUAAACUUUGUCAAGAGCCAAAACCUUCUCCAUUGUCGCCCAUUUUGUUUGCCAUUAAGCUUAAGAACUCUAUGAACUCAAUGGUCUCAUUUCCAUCAACGUCCACUUCGCUUAUCAUGUCCUGAAACUCCUCCUCCGUCGGAUUCUAAUCCAGAGACCGAAUCACUGUCGCCAGUUCAUCCACAGUAUGCAACCAUCUCCAUCCUCUCCCGUGGCUAAGACAACAGGGUUGGCCAUGAGCUCUCUGGAAAUGAGGCAUCUGGACUCUUUAGGAGCCAGCAGUACCGCCGCUGCCGUGAAACUUGAAAGAGAGAAACUUUUUGGACUUUAAGUUUUUCAAAGAAGACAAGGCUCUGAUGGCCUCAUCAGCAGUCUUGACCCUGUAGUCAUCUUCGUCAACCAUGGCCUUCACCAGCCUCUCCAGUUCCAUCGUCAGAGACAAUACCUUUCCUAGUGAGAUGCUCAGCGAUAGGGUGAGAGCUCAAGAUGGGAGAGCGGUCACCAUUAGCAAUACGUUGGAUCUCUGGCUGAAGAUCUUUAUACGUAAUAACUGGGACUUUGGACUUUGAACGAGUUCCGGUCGGUCAUACCAUCGAGGCUGAAUCGUUUGAGGUACUCGGUAUCAGCGUUACACUCAGAAUCUCGAGCAGAACUCUCUCCUGCUCCAAGUCCGUGUUCUUGGUCGUCUCCUCUAUGAACUGAAGCGCCUUGGCGUCCUUCUCGGUGGCCGGUGGGCCCAGGAGGGAGGAUGUCACUGAAUCGACGACCAUGAUUGACUUGAUCUGGGACUGUUGCUGCUGCAUGUCUCGUCCAUCAGAUGAGAGAGAGAGGAGAUGAGAGAGUGAUGCUCUCUUUUCUUGGAUUUGUUUUUGUUGUGGUCUGUGUGUGAGCGAGUGAGAGGAGAGAGAAGGAAUGAAUGUGACUGUGUUUCCAUUGAUGCCACCGUGACCGAGAGCUGAAGCAGAAGACAUGGGUUUUAAAGUGACUGUGCAGGUGUUUGGUUCUUGGGUUUCUAUAGAUUCACGGUGGAUGUGAAAAAAUGAAAGAGAACCAACACAACUUUUCGUAUCGAUUCCCAUAGACGGCGCCAAAUGUUGAUGCACAAAACCAAAGGUCUUGGAACAACAUAAAUCCGACCGUGAAUCUGCAAGAAAUGUAAAUAACACAAGAUGUAUCGUGGUUCAUCCCAAGGUUUAGGCUAUGUCCAGACUGAUUGUAUUGUAUUUCUCUGAGAAGUGAGGGAGAAAGCCUCUGUAAUAUGAGAGGGGAUGUGAGAGGGUUUCAGGCCUAAGGGUUGGCCUCCUCUAAUUGUGAGGGUGAGGGGUCCUUUUAUAGAAUAAGGACUCCUCACUUAUUACAUAUUUUGCCCCUUCAUUUAUCACAUAAUUACAUUUAAGUCCCCUGAUUAUUUGUACGAGAUCUAAAUACGAGGCCCUAAAUAUGGUAUAAACAUACUCAAUUUCAAUACAUAUUAUUAUUUAAUGUAUAUUUAGUAGAGGAUAGGUAGUAAAUAAUACAUUUUAUGCUAAAAAUUAUAAAUUAGUUCUAUCUCCAGUCCCCCUUUAUCCUACUCUUUAAAGAAAAAAGAUCAUUUACCCUAUGUAAUUUAGCCUCUAUGCUUCUUACUCAAGAAAAGAAAAAUAUUUUUUUUUAAAUCCACAAUUAAAUCCCUAUCUCCCCAAUUCCUUAUUUUUCUUUGCGAUUUUCUAAUGAAUGACACCUUUGACACAUUCUUAAUCUCUUUAUUUACUUAUUCUUGAUUUAGUUAGUAGGUUAAUUAUUUAUAUGGUCCUUGAAUUUAUCGGUUAGGGUUUUGAUUUUGAGAAUAGUUUAUUUUAUAUUGUUAUUCUUUUAUAUUGAUUAUUAUAUAAUUUUAUAUAAGCAGAAAAAUAAACAUAUAAUGUUAUGGUACUAUUUUCAGCUAGCUCCCUCCCAAGAAAAAAAUCCUGACUCUGCCCUUGUGUGGUUGUAUUGGCCUUGCAUCAAUCAAUUUAAAAACAUGAAAUAAGAUUUGAUUACUUCCCUUUUUUCUUUUUCUUUUGUUGGUGGGGUGGGGUUGAACAACUACUUCAUGCACAGCCAAUCGAAAUAGCUUUUACUUGAUCCCUUGAGACUGUAUGUAUCUGUGAAGAAAUUAAUCAAAUAUGGUAAAGGAUUAUUUAAUUUCAUGCAGAGAAAAACGGGGAGUAUUAAUUGAUUAUUAAAGGACUUUUUGAUAAUUAUUUCAUUUUCAGUUGUUAGUUUUUUUACGAAAUGAAUACGAUAGCUUUUGUUGAUGCACAAAAUCGGAGGUCUUGGAACAACGUAAAUCCGACCGUGAAUCUGCAAGUAAAGUAAAUAACACAAGAUGUAUCGUGGUUCACCCCAAGGUUUGGGCUACGUCCACACCGAUUAUGUAUUUAUCUGAAAGAGAGAGAGCUCUGAAAGUGAGAGCUUUGAGAGGGGGUGAGAGGGUCUAGGAAUUGGCCUCCCCUAAUGAGGAGAGUGAGAAGUCCUUUUAUAGAAUAAGGGCUCCUCACUUAUUACAUAUUUGCCCAUUUCUUUAUUACAUAAUUACAUUUGAGUCCCCCGAGUAUUUAUACGAGAUCUAAAUACAGAGGCCCUAAGUAUGGGAUAAAUAACUUUAUUUCAGAAUUCAACGAGAGUACAAAUCAUGGUCAAGGUCGUCACUAAUAAGGGGUUCCUCAAACUAUACAUCUGAAUCACCAUCAAGUAAAUUUAACUUGGUUAGGGGAUGUGCCACGCCAUUACAAGUACGGGAACAUAUGAAAACGUGCACCCGCCAAACUCAGAAGCUAACUCUUUAAUAUCAGAAAUAAUGAAUUCGAGACUAAUCGGUAGAAACACCAUUACAAACCGAGACAGCUUCCAUAGAAUCUGUUUCCACUUGCAGUUGGACGCACCCCACCCUUUUCGCAAGCUUCAAACCUUCUCUUAGUGCUAAGAGUUCCACCUGCUUGGUCGAAGAGCUGCCUUGAAGCCUCCAAGAACCAGCAGCUAAGAAGA